GAUUUUUGCUGCAAAUUUAAGUAUACUAAGUUUUUUUGUAAACUAAUUUAUUUUCUCUUUUCUCCCCUUAGGUUGAGAAAUGGAGUAAAGUUUUGUAAAGUACAAAAGUUUCCUGAGAUUUUAUGCAUCCACCUUAAAAGAUUCAGACAUGAACUAAUGUUUUCCACCAAAAUCAGUACCCAUGUUUCAUUUCCGCUGGAAGGCUUGGAUCUUCAGCCAUUUCUUGCUAAGGAUAGUCCAGCUCAAAUUGUGACAUAUGAUCUUCUGUCAGUCAUUUGCCAUCAUGGAACUGCAAGUAGUAAGUAUAUAGGUUUAACAGUUGUUCCUAGAUUUAAAAAAAAAUUAAAAUAAGCCUGGGCGUGGUGGCUCAUACCUGUAAUUACCAGCCUUUUGGGAGAAUGAGAUGGGAGGAUCACUUAAUUAAAGCCAGGAGUUUGAGACCAGCCUGGGCAACAUAGUGAAACCCCAUCUCUACAAAAUAAAUAAAUAAAUUAAUAAAUAAAUAAAUAAACAUCCUAAUUAAUCUUUUAAAUAAUAUCUGAAUAAAAGAAAAAACGUUAAAAACAGAUGUUACUGCUAAUUAUUAAAAACGUGUCAGACAAUUUUAUGCAAUUAAAUAUUUUUACUAUGAUGUUUCCAAUAUUGA
rnacentral:sRNA from 1 species